rnacentral:lncRNA from 10 species
CUGGACUACUCACACUGGCAGUAUUAAAAAGAAGAGAAAUGUGCAUUGUUGUUAAGUCACUUUCUUAUUUGUUCUGUUACAGUAGUGCAGAAAUAUUGUAAUUAAUAUGCUCCCCUAUAUCAGAUAUUACCAACGUUUUUCAUUUUCAUACUCUGAUAAAAAUGGUACUUUAUUUUUGCUUAAUUUGAACUUUUUGUUAGUAAGGUUGAGCCUGUAUUUAUGUUUCAUGAUCAUUUGUGUUUCUUCUCUGAAUUGCCUAUUAAUGUUCUGUGCCCACUGUUUUCUACUAGGGACUUUUUUAGGUUAAGUUUUAAGAGAUAUAUAUGAUAUCCCCUAUAAGGUGACAUUGUACGACACGCAAUAUAGGAGGUAGCUGUGUGUCUGCAGAUGGUUCCUGCCGGUGGGUUCAUGGUCUCGCUGACUUCAAGAAUGAAGCCGUGGACCUUCGCGAUGAGUGUUACAGCUAUUAAAGAAUGUGGAAAUAUAAAACUACUCUGUAUAAGAUUGGAUUCAGUUUACAAAAAUAAGCCUGAAGCCUUUGAACUCAGGGGGCCCAGGUGGAGAGAUUCUGUUCAUUAUCUGUCCUCCUGCCUCCAGCCUGUGCCAUAGACUCCAAAUGGAUGAAAGCUCUGUAUAGAGAGGUUGUAUUACCAUGGAGUACAAUAUCUGUCAGAUUUGAGUAGAGGUGAACACAGUGGAGGAGAAUAAAGAGAGAGCUGAGUUCUGUCUCAGUGAGCACGACAAAAGGCCGAUGAACCUGUCAGAGGGCAGAAGUGGACCCCAAAGGCUUGUUCCCGCGGACUUUGCUGGUUGACUGUUCUUUGCAUUAAUCUGGAAUCAUGGCGCACCAUUACUCUUUUCAUGUUGUGAUAUUCUCUUCACAUUCUCUUCCUUGCUCCUCAAUGCCAAAUGUGUGACUUUUCAGAAACAAAAUAUUGAGGAAUUUAAAGUGAGCAUGCUGUAGCAACCAGUGAGAUGCAUGGAAAAUCAUAAGCUGUUGAAAAACUGGGAUUGGGAUUUGUUGCUGGGGGCAUAAAUUUUGUGUGUACAUCCAAAGAAUACUCCAUGCUCUGAGACUUAGAAUAUAGUCAUGUUGUGUGAAUUUAUGAAUUAUAUUGAGUAGAAAAUAUAUAUAUAUAGUCAUUUGACAUUAAGAGACAAUGAAUAUAUAAGUGUUUGACUGGACUGGCCAACAUAGUGAAACCCGUCUCUGCUAAAAAUGCAAGAAUUGGCCAGGCAUGGUGGUUGGUGCCUGUAAGCCCAGCUACUCGGGAGGCUGAGGUGGGAGAAUCGCUUGAACCCAGAGGCGGGGUUUGCAGUGAGCCGAGAUCACGCACUGCACUCUAGUCUGGGCGACAGAGCAAGACUCCAUCUCAAACAAACAAACAAACAAGCAAAAAACACAUAAAUAAAUAGUUACAAAAGCAACAAAAAAGUGACAAUAAAAUGACACUGUUAACUGGAGCUAUUUGGAUAUGUGUUGUUUUUAUUUUUUCCAUUUAUUGUACUUCUCUCUCUCACCUUAGAAAAAAAAAAGGUUGAAAGAUUGUGGCUCUGCCAGACGUGGUGGCUCACACCUAUAAUCCCAG